rnacentral:lncRNA from 1 species
CGACAUAGAAGAAAAAGUGGGAGCGAAACCCUUUGGCACAAAAUUGGGUGGCAUUCCCCAAGGGAAUCCAGCAGGCAGAUUCGAAGCCAAGUGGGCGGUGGCAGCAGGCAUUAUAGAGGUAACUACUUCAGAAAUGACAGUCCUCACGGGAGGAGUUGCAGGAGUUGGAGAAGCUUGGCUCUGAGCAGCAAGAAUUGACUCCAUCAUGGCAGUCAUUCAGGCAAUCUCCUCUUUCAAAUA